rnacentral:rRNA from 1 species
AUUGAACGCUGGCGGCAGGCCUAACACAUGCAAGUCGAGCGGAUGAAGGGAGCUUGCUCCUGGAUUCAGCGGCGGACGGGUGAGUAAUGCCUAGGAAUCUGCCUGGUAGUGGGGGAUAACGUCCGGAAACGGGCGCUAAUACCGCAUACGUCCUGAGGGAGAAAGUGGGGGAUCUUCGGACCUCACGCUAUCAGAUGAGCCUAGGUCGGAUUAGCUAGUUGGUGGGGUAAAGGCCUACCAAGGCGACGAUCCGUAACUGGUCUGAGAGGGUGAUCAGUCACACUGGGAAUGAGACACGGUCCAGACUCCUACGGGAGGGAACAGUGGGGAAUAUUGGACAAUGGGCGAAAGCCUGAUCCAGCCAUGCCGCGUGUGUGAAGAAGGUCUUCGGAUUGUAAAGCACUUUAAGUUGGGAGGAAGGGCAGUAAGUUAAUACCUUGCUGUUUUGACGUUACCAACAGAAUAAGCACCGGCUAACUUCGUG